GAUGAACGCUAGCGGCAGGCUUAAUACAUGCAAGUCGAGGGGCAGCAUGACUGUAGCAAUACAGUUGAUGGCGACCGGCAAACGGGUGCGGAACACGUACAGAACCUUCCUUCGAGCGGGGAAUAGCCCAGAGAAAUUUGGAUUAAUACCCCAUAGUAUAUUGGAGUGGCAUCACUUUGAUAUUAAAGAUUUAUCACUUGAAGAUGGCUGUGCGGCUGAUUAGGUAGUUGGCGGGGUAACGGCCCACCAAGCCUGCGAUCAGUAACUGGUGUGAGAGCACGACCAGUCACACGGGCACUGAGACACGGGCCCGACUCCUACGGGAGGCAGCAGUAAGGAAUAUUGGUCAAUGGACGAAAGUCUGAACCAGCCAUGCCGCGUGGAGGAUGAAGGUCCUCUGGAUUGUAAACUUCUUUUAUAUGGGACGAAAAAAGGCUUUUCUAAGUCGUCUGACGGUACCAUAUGAAUAAGCACCGGCUAACUCCGUGCCAGCCGCCGCAGUAACAC
rnacentral:rRNA from 1 species